CAUCACAUGUCCUGCCACUCCUUCAGCAUCGAGUUAACAAUUGGCAUUAUGGAUGGAAACAUGGGCCCUUGCUGUUUUGUUCCCUUUUGUUUAACCUCUAAUAGUAUCAAGUGGACUGGAUGGGUGUGUUUCCUUUUCUCUUUAUGUUGGUUAUUUUCCUAAAGCUGCAUUUUUUUUUCUAGGAAAGCUCGUGGUGAUGAGGAAAGGAUGUUGGUAAUAUUCUUUGACAGGAGAAAGGGGUCAGAGGGCAGUGGAGCAGAGACUGGCAGAGAAGCUGGCCGCGGUCAGGAAUACGGAGGGCACGCCUCCGCCGAAGCAGCAGCGGGAGGACGCGGAGGAUUUGGCACCUGUCAACACUGCAGAGUUGCAAAUUACACAAGUAGUAGAAGAAGCACAAUGGAAUUCACAACCAAACCUCCGAUCCAUGCAUAUACAACGAUGAGGAAAGCAAGAUACGAAGGAAAGACCUGACAAAGCCGACGUGAUUCAGUCGAUGACUUCAAUCCCAAGCGCGGCGAUCGCUGGAAGACGGAGGUGGAUCACGCGACCUAGCGGAUCUAGCUGCGGCACCAGCCCGUCCAUGGCCGGUGCAUCGCGCGACCUAGCCGAUAUAGCUGCGUCACCCAGCCGGCCGGGCGCCAGUUGUAGGAGGUGGAAAUUGUAUAUUCAAAAAUUCGAUUGACAGGAGUUUUUUUAGUAUUGACGGAAAAUUUCGAUUGACGGGAGGCUAAAUUCGAUUCACGGGAGGCUGAGGAGAGGUUCAGGUUUUUAGUAA